rnacentral:tRNA from 1 species
UGGAUUGUGGCUCAGUGGUAGAGUGCUCGCCUAGCAUGUGUGGGGCCCUGGGUUCGAUCCUCAGCACCACAU